GCAUUCUGGUAAGACAAGAGUGUAAUGAAGAGGAAUCAUUGGUGCAAUUACAAAGGCAGUGGCAAUAAACCUGACUUCAAGAUGUCAGAGGAAGAUGAUUCUUUUCUGAAUGUUAAAAGAUCUCUUAAAAAGAGAAUGGUGAAACACAGCACCCCAGUGGACUCAAUGCUUUCAAGAACAAUUCCAUCUUUUACAGAUCUGACAAAUCAGUCAAUCAAGGACCAAGAUGCCACAAAGAAAGUUUAUGGCUCUCCAAUGCCAAAAUCAAAUCUAAGCAGAUCGUUAUCUCAAGUAUCAUUAGUACAUGUUGAUGUACACAUUCCUCCUAUGUCCCCAAAAAAGCUUUCAACAGCAUUUGAUUUGCAAGAACUAAUUAAAGAGAAAAGCCAAAGCUCUCGGAUUGUAUUUUCUAGAAGGAGGCUUUCCACUGUGUUGGCCUCUGAUGAAUCAAAUCAAGAGCCAGCUCACAAGAUUGUCCCAAACAUAGAAACUCAAGCUACCACCAGAGCAUUUGUGGAUGAUGCAGGAACUCCUAAGAGUGGGCCCUCAUGGUUUGUUUCUGGAAUACCAGGGAUAAAAGAUCCCCUGGUAGCAAAAUCAAGAAAGAAGAAAAGUGAUAAAACUCUUCAGAGAAAGAAAGAAAGAGAGUGGCUGCUUCGUCAGCUUAAAAACAUUGAGGAGGCAACUAAACAUGAACUGACAAUUGAAGAAGCUUGAUUGGGCUACCUGUGGGAUAAGUGCUAGCACAUCUGUCAUGUGGGAAUGCAGAAAUGGAAAGAAGAAAGGGGAAGAAUAAUCUUCAUAUUUUUUCUGCUUCUUACUGUUGCUGCCAUUUUGAUCCCUUUUGUUGUCCUCCACUUCAUACUUUUGGCCUUUCCUAGCUCUACAUGUCCUACUGUAACUGUCUUCUGCUUUCAGCUCUUCAUGUCAUUGCAGGUUUUUCUUCUAGUCAGAGAAGAGGAGGAGGUGAGAACAUGUGAAGGAAACAACAUGGCAACACCAAGGUCAGUGGAGAAGGAGGGGGAGGAGGUAUUCCAAGCACUGGAGCCAAGAAUCCUCUGCAGGCCAUGCUGAUUGAUGACCAUGGUGAAGCAGCUGUGACCCUGCAGUCCAUGGGGAUCCACAGGGGAUGCAGAGAUUCAUUCAUGUCCCGUGGGGGAGAUGCCCACCCUGGAGCAGGUGGAUGCCUGGAGGAGGCUGUGAUCCAGUGGAAGACCUGGUGGAGAGAGGAGGUCCCUGCUUCCAGGCUGGAGCAGCCUGUCCUUGGAGGACUGCACCCCGUGGAAGACUGACCCAUGCCGCAGGAGUUUUGGGAGAACUGUUUGCCUGUGGGAGGGACUUACGUUGCAGCAUGUGAGGUAGGCUGCUUCUCCUGAGAGUGGACCCACAUUGAAGAAGUUCAUGGAGAGCAGUCUCCUAUGAGAGGGACCCCACAGUCUCACAGGGGAAGGACCCCUCUCCCUGAUCAAUGGAAGAUGAUCUCAGGGGACAAACCAACAAAAAACCCACCCUCUGUCUUCCUGUGUAGUCAGUGGGAAGGAGGGAGGGGCGGGGGAAGAAAUGGUGUUGUUAAGGGCUUAUUUUAC